GAUGAACGCUGGCGGCGUGCCUAAUACAUGCAAGUCGAGCGAACGGACUAGAAGCUUGCUUCCUUGAUGUUAGCGGCGGACGUGUGAGUAACACGUUGAUAACCUACCUAUAAGACUGGGAUAACUUCGGGAAACCGGAGCUAAUACCGUAUAAUAUUUUGAUCCUCAUUGUUCAAAAGUAAAAGACGGUCUUGCUGUCACUUAUAGAUGCAUCCGCGCUGCAUUAGCUAGUUGGUAAGGUAACGGCUUACCAAGGCAACGAUGCAUAGCCGACCUGAGAGGGUGAUCGGCCACACUGGAACUGAGACACGGUCCAGACUCCUACGGGAGGCAGCAGUAGGGAAUCUUCCGCAAUGGGCGAAAGCCUGACGGAGCAACGCCGCGUGAGUGAUGAAGGUCUUCGGAUCGUAAAACUCUGUUAUUAGGGAAGAACAUAUGUGUAAGUAAAUGUGCACCUCUUGGCGGUAACUAAACAGAAAGCCACGGCUAACUACGGG
rnacentral:rRNA from 1 species